rnacentral:rRNA from 1 species
UACGUAGGGUGCGAGCGUUGUUCGGAAUUACUGGGCGUAAAGCGCGCGUAGGCGGCUAUUCAAGUCAGAGGUGAAAGCCCGGGGCUCAACCCCGGAACUGCCUUUGAAACUAGGUAGCUAGAAUCUUGGAGAGGUCAGUGGAAUUCCGAGUGUAGAGGUGAAAUUCGUAGAUAUUCGGAAGAACACCAGUGGCGAAGGCGACUGACUGGACAAGUAUUGACGCUGAGGUGCGAAAGCGUGGGGAGCAAACAGGG